rnacentral:antisense_RNA from 15 species
GAUAGCCAUAGAUAACCCAAGGAUCGAGGGUUGGUUCACUAACGACUCGGACAGCGCCGAUAGUUGCGUCGUAUAAUCCCCCCCAGUACAUAGCUUUGGCCACUAAUAAUAAUGCAGCUAUACCUAAAAAGAGCAGGUGAUGACCGAGAAUAACUCCUAAUUGUCGGGGNUCGCUCCA